AGGAAAUUGGGAAGUGAAGAGAAGAAUCCUCCAUAGCAUGCCAUAGGCCUUGGUGGCUGCAGACCAUCUAUGCUUUCUCUAGCAUAGUGUAAAUGAGGGCAGACACACUAUAGAUAUAAAAGCCUAAGCAACCAUAAGUGGAAGUUUAUUUCCAGAAGCCAUGAUUCUGGAAGGUGCUGAAAUGACAUAGAAUUCAAGACUUUGGAAUAGUACAAAAUCAGGCCUCCUGGAAAUAAUGGCAACUCAUAUUGAAGUCUGCAUCAAAACUCAGUGGAAGACAUGUAAAAAUCUGGAAACUUUGCACCAGGCUCUGGAAGCAGCACGAACUGACAACAGUCACCUCCAUGAGGAAAGUGAGUUAGUGGUUGCAAAUGUUAAUCAGUGGAUCAAAGAACAAAA